GACGAACGCUGGCGGCGUGCUUAACACAUGUAAGUCGAACGGAAAGGCCCUGCUUUUGUGGGGUGCUCGAGUGGCGAACGGGUGAGUAACACGUGAGUAACCUGCCCUUGACUUUGGGAUAACUUCAGGAAACUGGGGCUAAUACCGGAUAGGAGCUCCUGCUGCAUGGUGGGGGUUGGAAAGUUUCGGCGGUUGGGGAUGGACUCGCGGCUUAUCAGCUUGUUGGUGGGGUAGUGGCUUACCAAGGCUUUGACGGGUAGCCGGCCUGAGAGGGUGGCCGGCCACAUUGGGACUGAGAUACGGCCCAGACUCCUACGGGAGGCAGCAGUGGGGAAUAUUGCACAAUGGGCGGAAGCCUGAUGCAGCAACGCCGCGUGCGGGAUGACGGCCUUCGGGUUGUAAACCGCUUUCGCCUGUGACGAAGCGUGAGUGACGGUAAUGGGUAAAGAAGCACCGGCUAACUACGUG
rnacentral:rRNA from 1 species